AUUAAUGUGUUCAUCACUUUAAUGUUGCAGCUGGUAAAUGUGGAGCUCAUUUUACUUACUUUAUAUGCUGCUGCUGGAUAGUUUAAUCUAUAAAAAUACAUCACCACUUAAUAGUUGAUUAUAUUGUUUUAAUAAUCCAAAUCUGUAAAGUAACUAAAGUUAUCAGAUAAAUGUAGGGGAGUAAAAAGUACUCUAUGUAGAGAUGUAGUGGAGUAGAAGUAUAUAGUAGCACAAAAUGUAUAUCAUUUUGUGGUACUUGUACUUCACUUGAGUACAGUACUUGAGUAAAUGUAUGUAGUUACUUUCAUCCCAAACUUUGGAUCAAACUGAUGUUCAGUUGGUGCUGCAGAACUCUUUAUGUUGUUCAGGUAAACUGUCCUCUGAAGAUACUCACCUGUCUGUCUGUCUGUCUGUCAGUCUGUCGGAUGGUCUGUCUGUCUGCCCUCCUGCCUGCCUCUCCUCCAAGAGGUCCAGGAGAUGCUGCAGCUUUGAGGGGCUCAGUUGCUUAGCGACAGUAACUGUGACGACAGAGAGGUGAUGUCGAACACCUGGAACAUCUCCCUACUGAAGACGUAAAUCUAUAAAAACACAAAUAUUGACUUUGAUCAGUAAGUUUCUCAAACGGCUGGUCACUGUAGUUUUUAUCAAACAGGAAAUGUGAAGGGGAUUAUUUUCAGCGGCAGAUGAGGAUCUGACACACAAUACGUGUAGAAAAUAUAGAACUGCUGCUGCUCUUGUUUCAGGCAACUAUUGUAUAUUAUGGGCUGGAAUGUGUAAAAGUAACAUUUCUUAAUGUUGUUACCAUGACAACCGUGUGUUUUCUCUUUGUGCAAAUCAAAGAAAAAGAGAUAAACAGUGUGUAUAUUCA